rnacentral:rRNA from 1 species
UACGUAGGGUGCAAGCGUUGUCCGGAAUUAUUGGGCGUAAAGAGCUCGUAGGCGGUCCGUCACGUCGGCUGUGAAAACCCGGGGCUCAACCCCGGGCCUGCAGUCGAUACGGGCGGACUAGAGUUCGGCAGGGGAGACUGGAAUUCCUGGUGUAGCGGUGAAAUGCGCAGAUAUCAGGAAGAACACCAACGGCGAAGGCAGCUCGCUGGGACGGUACUGACGCUGAGACGCGAAAGCGUGGGGAGCGAACAGG